GAUGAACGCUGGCGGCGUGCCUAAUACAUGCAAGUCGAGCGAACGGACGAGAAGCUUGCUUCUCUGAUGUUAGCGGCGGACGGGUGAGUAACACGUGGAUAACCUACCUAUAAGACUGGGAUAACUUCGGGAAACCGGAGCUAAUACCGGAUAAUAUUUUGAACCGCAUGGUUCAAAAGUGAAAGACGGUCUUGCUGUCACUUAUAGAUGGAUCCGCGCCGCAUUAGCUAGUUGGUAAGGUAACGGCUUACCAAGGCAACGAUGCAUAGCCGACCCGAGAGGGUGAUCGGCCACACUGGAACUGAGACACGGUCCAGACUCCUACGGGAGGCAGCAGUAGGGAAUCUUCCGCAAUGGGCGAAAGCCUGACGGAGCAACGCCGCGUGAGUGAUGAAGGUCUUCGGAUCGUAAAACUCUGUUAUUAGGGAAGAACAUAUGUGUAAGUAACUGUGCACAUCUUGACGGUACCUAAUCAGAAAGCCACGGCUAACUACGUG
rnacentral:rRNA from 1 species